AGAAUUUCCAACGCUGCGUUCGUUUUCUCCCAGCUGGGAGCUAGGAGUAGUUGGAGACCGAUCAAAUGGGUGCAUUUAGUGCAAAUAUAUAAUUAUAGCGCAUAGAUUAUCCACGAUAAUUCACAUUGAUGAAAUCCUAUUGUGGGUGCUUUCCAUUUAAUGACACAAGUCGACACAAGUGUCGUUCUAUCUUUGUUACUCAUUGAACAUAAAAAAAAGAUAGAACGAUGCUUGUGUCGACUUGUGUUACUAAAUGGAAAGCACCCUGUAUAUCUUGAAAGAUGGUGAGAUCAUCGAGAGAGGCAAACACGAAGAAUUAAUUUCAUACCGUUCAUUAUGCAAUGUGGCAAGUUCAGCUUCAAAAUGACCGAGAGUACAGCAAGAAUGAACAAAAUUCUAUUCAUGAAAACGAUGUUUUAAUUAAUAAUAAAACUGAUUAACAUACCCAGGUAGCACUAUAUACCCAGGUAGCACAGAGAGUUAAAAAAGAAUUCAUAAUUGGUGAUAUACAAUUGAGUUCUUUUUGAACUCUGUGCUAUCUGGGUAAUUUAUAUACAUGAUAAAUACUAUAUGUACAAAUAAAUAUAUAAAUUGUUAUUAAUAAAGUUAUAAUUUUUAGGUGUGUAUAAAUUUUCAUCAAUGUGUGUAAGGUUACUGUCAAUUGCUAAACAAUUACCAAUAAAUAAUUAUUUAAGAAAAAUGUUAAAAUGAUAGCUAUUUAAAAUAAUAAAUUGAUAUUUUUAGAAUUUAGAUUAACUUUUUUACAUAUUAAAAUAUUUUUUACUUGAAAAUUUUUUUCUUUGUUUAUUAGUACGGCAAUUCUAUUAUCUCUAAUUAAAAAUAAAAUGUAAAUGGUACACACAUAAUAUAUUGCAUAUUACAAGGAUCUUUUCUCUCAUUAUGCUGUUAUUUCUUAACGAAUUAUUUCAUUUGCCAAAAGUUCAUCUGUGUUCCAACCAGAUUCAUCGAUAGACACAACAGCUACAUUUGGCUCAUUACUGCCCCACGCAAAAUAAUAACUUGCAACAAAUGCCCAUGUUAAUACAUAAAAUAUCUACAUAAAUAAUUUUUAUUAUUAAUAUCCAUAUAUAAUUUUUGCAUUUUUAUGAUAUUAUAAAAAUACUUUUAAGAGCUUU